CGUUGCAAUACCUUUUAAAUCAGGGCCCUGGACAGGAUCCAAGGACAGUAGCAAGGACCAGCCCCUUGGCACUUCUUAAAGAAGCAGCUGCAGAGGGUGCCAGCCUCAGGAACCUGGAUUUCUGGAAGAGCCUGAGUUCAGGCAAGAUUGGAAGCUGGGGCAAGGCUGGAAGCAGAUGGUAUCUCCAGCUCACCCCAUUCCUUCUCUUCCUUCCUCAAGGCUCUUUUGCAUCCAGAGGACUUAAGGUGAUCUGUCUCCCAAGCUGUCUUGAAAAACCAGAGGCAGCAGGUGGAGACAUCCAGGAAUCUAAAGCCCAUCUCCUUGGGAGGAGAGACCUUCCAGUUGGUCCAAGAUUCAGGAGUCUGGUUUGAGAGGGAGUGAGCCCCCCAUGGAAGGAGGAAGAGAUCUUUGCUGUGGACCCUUUUCAGAGACAGAAGUUACUUCUGAACUGGGUAAAGACUGAGAUUCUAGACACUUCCAUCUGGUGCACUGUUGGUGGCUUCUCUUGAAAAAUCAGAUCUGUCCACCCCGGGCCGGCGGAGUGCCUGCUCACAGAAGCUCGAAUUGGG